rnacentral:tRNA from 1 species
GCUGGUUGAUAGCUCAGUUGGUAGAGCAUGAGAGUCUUAAUCUCACAGUCAUGGGCUUGAGCCCCACACUGGGCA